CCUACGGGGGGCAGCAGUGGGGAAUAUUGGACAAUGGGCGAAAGCCUGAUCCAGCCAUGCCGCGUGUGUGAAGAAGGCCUUCGGGUUGUAAAGCACUUUCAGUGGGGAAGAAAGCCUUGGGGCUAAUACCCUCGAGGAAGGACAUCACCCACAGAAGAAGCACCGGCUAACUCCGUGCCAGCAGCCGCGGUAAUACGGAGGGUGUGAGCGUUAAUCGGAAUUACUGGGCGUAAAGCGCGCGUAGGCGGUCUGAUAAGCCGGUUGUGAAAGCCCCGGGCUCAACCUGGGAACGGCAUCCGGAACUGUCAGGCUAGAGUGCAGGAGAGGAAGGUAGAAUUCCCGGUGUAGCGGUGAAAUGCGUAGAGAUCGGGAGGAAUACCAGUGGCGAAGGCGGCCUUCUGGACUGACACUGACGCUGAGGUGCGAAAGCGUGGGUAGCAAACAGGAUUAGAUACCCCUGUAGUC
rnacentral:rRNA from 1 species